rnacentral:rRNA from 1 species
AUUGAACGCUGGCGGCGUGCCUAAUACAUGCAAGUCGAACGCAGUGGGGACGGGUGCGUAACACGUGGGUAACCUCCCAUCAGAGGGGAUAACACUUGGAAACAGGUGCUAAACCGAUACUGAUUGAUGGACCCGCGGGGGAUUCGCUUGUUGGUGAGGUAACGGCUCACCAAGGCCACGAUGCAUAGCCGGCCUGAGAGGAGGAUCGGCCACACUGGGACUGAGACACGGCCCAGACUCCUACGGGAGGCAGCAGGAGGGAAUCUUCGGCAAUGGACGAAAGUCUGACCGAGCAACGCCGCGUGAGUGAAGAAGGUUUUCGGAUCGUAAAGCUCUGUUGGUAGAGAAGCGGUACCUAAAGAGAAAGCCACGGCUAACUACGUGCCAGCAGCCGCGGUAAUAC